UCUGGUGUCAGCCGCCGCGGUAAAACCAGCACCUCAAGUGGUCAGGAUGAUUAUUGGGCCUAAAGCAUCCGUAGCUCGUUUUGUAAGUUUUCGGUUAAAUCCAUGCGCUCAACGUAUGGGCUGCCGGGAAUACUGCAUAACUAGGAAGUGGGAGAGGUAGACGGUACUCGGUAGGAAGGGGUAAAAUCCUUUGAUCUAUUGAUGACCACCUGUGGCGAAGGCGGUCUACCAGAACACGUUCGACGGUGAGGGAUGAAAGCUGGGGGAGCAAACCGGAUUAGAUACCCGGGUAGUCCCAGCUGUAAACUAUGCAAACUCAGUGAUGCAUUGGCUUGUGGCCAAUGCAGUGCUGCAGGGAAGCCGUUAAGUUUGCCGCCUGGGAAGUACGUACGCAAGUAUGAAACUUAAAG
rnacentral:rRNA from 2 species